rnacentral:ncRNA from 12 species
ACUAUAUAAAGAUAUAUAACCACCAGAUAGGUUGGUAUCUCCCUUUAUAGUAUUUUAAAUUCGAAACUUGUUGAUAAUUUGUUGUGUAACUUCAUUUAAAUGAAUUGAAACAAAUUUAAUACAAGUGGAUGUAGGAUAACCGUCCGUCCUUUACAUUGGUAUAAAAGUGAUCUAAAAUUCUAUUUAUAAUUUUUUAUAGAUUUUUAGUGACGGUCAU